rnacentral:lncRNA from 1 species
AUCAAUAAAUACCAAAAGAUAAUAUUUGCCAAAUCUUUUUGAUUUAGGAAAGAUAUUAUCAAAUAUUCUCAAAAACUGAUUAAAUCUGUUGAAUAUUUGAAAGAUAUUAGAUAUAAGAUAAAAGAUUUUAUCAACAGAAGAUUCAAAGUCCAAGCCCAAUCAAGCCCUAUAUAAAGAUAUCCAGGGGAGGCUGAAAAGGGGGAGCUUCAUUCAUUCAUCCACCACUGCUUUCACUUUUCUUUCAUUAUGUGUUUCUAAGCUCCUAGGGCUAUUCUGCUGUAAUUUCAUUAUGGAUUCUGAGGUUAAGUGAAUUAAUGCAAUUGUUUAUUUUGAUUAUUGAUUUAAGUUGAUCUCUCUAUGUCUUUCAUCUCUCUAUCAUAUUAAAAGCAAAGAUUUUUGCAUCAUUAUGUGUUUGAAUCUACAUGCAUAUUAAUUAUAUGAGUUCUAGGGUUUCUAGGUUUAAUUGAGAAUCUACUUUGAUUUAAUUUAGGAACUUUCACAUGAUUAAAUGGUUUUUACUAUCAAUUGAGAAUGUACUUUGGUUGGUAGUAAUAAUUUCAACUAAAAUCAAUUGAGAAUUUACUUUGAUUGAUUAACUUUUAAUUUGGUUAAGAGAUUUAAGAAUAGACAUGAUUAAACACAAUAAACUUGAUUGAGAAUGUACUUUGGUUGAAUUUAUUGUGAAUAAUCUAAAAAGGUCUUGCAUUUGAUUGAGAAUGUACUUUGAUUAACUGCAUGAUCGCCCUCAAAUUAAUUAAGAAUGUACUUUAAUUAAUUUGAAACUUAAACAAUAAUCAAUUGAACAAUGAUCUAUGAAUAACCGAUGAUGAAUCUAUUUUGGAAAAGCAGUGGAAUUAGCCUGUUUCUUCAUAAUUGUUUUUAAGUUUUCUAUUUGUUUUACAACAACCUUUGAACAUCCUCACUUUUAUUCUUAAGCAUUGCAUAGCAUUCAUAAGUUUCAGAUAUUCGAAAGCAAUUUCGUGUUCGUUGGGAGACGACUUAGGGUUACUUUAGCCCUAUCUACUUUCUGGAAUACUACUAGGCAAUACUGAAGUUGCCUUGAAAAGUAGUAUUAAUUUAAUAGCUUCAACGACAACUUAUCAGCCGCUGUGGGUGGACCUCCGAUGGACGAUGGCAAGGGAGACGACUGACGGCUGGGAGGGUUUCGUUCUCUCUCUAGAUUUCCUUCUCACAAUCCUUCAAAUGAAUUUGAAUUUGGGAAAGUGGUUGCUUUCAAUUUCUGCCCUGCCCUCAACCCGUCCACGUCAAUAUUUGGUGCAAGUUAGAAAAGGAUGCAUUGCUAAUUUUUUUGAACUAUGAAACAGAAUUUCCACAUUGUUUCUGGGUUACACUUUGUACGAGUGAAACGGGACAUUUUUUUUAGAAGAGAAAGAAAGACAAGUAUGAAAUAAGUAUAAAAUAUGAAUAUGAAAAACCACUGGUUGCAAGU